UCAGAGGUAAAUCCCCCACCUCCCGCCCGCCAGAGAAAUACAAGUGAAAAACUUGAAACUCCAAGGACUUGACGGUGUCCUACUCACACUAGAGGAGCCUGUCCUAUAAUCGAUACCCCACGUUAUACCUUACCCCCCCUCGCUCAACCUAUAUACCGCCGUCGUCAGCCUACACUGUGAGGCAACCACCGUAAGCAAAACCACAACACAUAAACACGACAGGUCAAGGUGUAGUUCAUGGGGGGACAGAGAUGAGCUACAUUUUCUAAUUAGAAAAUCACCGCCAGCACCGUGAAACUGCUUAAAGGCGGAUUUAGAAGUAAACUUGGCAAGCUAUGCCAACUUGACGCCCUAGGACGC
rnacentral:rRNA from 1 species